GACGAACGCUGGCGGCGUGCCUAAUACAUGCAAGUAGAACGCUGAAGAGAGGAGCUUGCUCUUCUUGGAUGAGUUGCGAACGGGUGAGUAACGCGUAGGUAACCUGCCUUGUAGCGGGGGAUAACUAUUGGAAACGAUAGCUAAUACCGCAUAACAAUGGAUGACACAUGUCAUUUAUUUGAAAGGGGCAAUUGCUCCACUACAAGAUGGACCUGCGUUGUAUUAGCUAGUAGGUGAGGUAAUGGCUCACCUAGGCGACGAUACAUAGCCGACCUGAGAGGGUGAUCGGCCACACUGGGACUGAGACACGGCCCAGACUCCUACGGGAGGCAGCAGUAGGGAAUCUUCGGCAAUGGGGGCAACCCUGACCGAGCAACGCCGCGUGAGUGAAGAAGGUUUUCGGAUCGUAAAGCUCUGUUGUAAGUCAAGAACGGGUGUGAGAGUGGAAAGUUCACACUGUGACGGUAGCUUACCAGAAAGGGACGGCUAACUACGUGCCAGCAGCCGCGGUAAUACGUAGGUCCCGAGCGUUGUCCGGAUUUAUUGGGCGUAAAGCGAGCGCAGGCGGUUUGAUAAGUCUGAAGUUAAAGGCUGUGGCUCAACCAUAGUUCGCUUUGGAAACUGUCAAACUUGAGUGCAGAAGGGGAGAGUGGAAUUCCAUGUGUAGCGGUGAAAUGCGUAGAUAUAUGGAGGAACACCGGUGGCGAAAGCGGCUCUCUGGUCUGUAACUGACGCUGAGGCUCGAAAGCGUGGGGAGCGAACAGGAUUAGAUACCCUGGUAGUCCACGCCGUAAACGAUGAGUGCUAGGUGUUGGAUCCUUUCCGGGAUUCAGUGCCGCAGCUAACGCAUUAAGCACUCCGCCUGGGGAGUACGACCGCAAGGUUGAAACUCAAAGGAAUUGACGGGGGCCCGCACAAGCGGUGGAGCAUGUGGUUUAAUUCGAAGCAACGCGAAGAACCUUACCAGGUCUUGACAUCCCGAUGCUAUUUCUAGAGAUAGAAAGUUACUUCGGUACAUCGGUGACAGGUGGUGCAUGGUUGUCGUCAGCUCGUGUCGUGAGAUGUUGGGUUAAGUCCCGCAACGAGCGCAACCCCUAUUGUUAGUUGCCAUCAUUCAGUUGGGCACUCUAGCGAGACUGCCGGUAAUAAACCGGAGGAAGGUGGGGAUGACGUCAAAUCAUCAUGCCCCUUAUGACCUGGGCUACACACGUGCUACAAUGGUUGGUACAACGAGUUGCGAGUCGGUGACGGCGAGCUAAUCUCUUAAAGCCAAUCUCAGUUCGGAUUGUAGGCUGCAACUCGCCUACAUGAAGUCGGAAUCGCUAGUAAUCGCGGAUCAGCACGCCGCGGUGAAUACGUAUCCCGGGCCU
rnacentral:rRNA from 1 species